GGCUGGAGCGAUUCAGUUAGUGUUGGAGUGGUGUGGUUCUGCUGUUACUCACUUAGUAGAAUUUGCAGUGGCGAAUUGUGGGAGCGGUAACCUGUCUUGUUCAGUUUCGCAGUGGAGAGUUGCUUGGUUUCGAGGGUGCUGGUGAUCUCAGAAGUGCAUUUACGUCACGAAUGAACCAGGUAAUCCCCAGACAUAGGCGGAUUGAUGCGACGGAGUACUCAGCGGUGGCCACACGACUCCUUUUUGCUAUUUGAUACUUAUUUAUGAUUUUAAGUUUUAUUUUGGGGUAUUUUUUGUAAUAAUGGAUUCUAUAGAUUUUUACCUAAAAUUUGGGUUUUAUAUUGUUUUCUUGUUAUAUCUGCUAGAAGUAGGUAAAACUCGGGUUUUCAAAAGUGAUGAAUGUUAUCAAAAUACCAC